rnacentral:rRNA from 1 species
UACAGAGGGUGCGAGCGUUAAUCGGAAUUACUGGGCGUAAAGCGUGCGUAGACGGCUAUCUAAGUCGGGUGUGAAAGCCCCGGGCUCAACCUGGGAAUUGCAUUCGAGACUGAAUAGCUAGGGUGCGGUAGAGGGAAGCGGAAUUUCCGGUGUAGCGGUGAAAUGCGUAGAUAUCGGAAGGAACACCAGUGGCGAAGGCGACUAUCUGGAUAGCUACUGACACUGAGACACGAAAGCAUGGGUAGCAAACAGG